AAUAGAUACCCUGGUAGUCCACGCCGUAAACGAUGAGUGCUAAGUGUUAGGGGGUUUCCGCCCCUUAGUGCUGCAGCUAACGCAUUAAGCACUCCGCCUGGGGAGUACGGUCGCAAGACUGAAACUCAAAGGAAUUGACGGGGGCCCGCACAAGCGGUGGAGCAUGUGGUUUAAUUCGAAGCAACGCGAAGAACCUUACCAGGUCUUGACAUCCCAUUGACCACUAUGGAGACAUAGUUUUCCCUUCGGGGACAACGGUGACAGGUGGUGCAUGGUUGUCGUCAGCUCGUGUCGUGAGAUGUUGGGUUAAGUCCCGCAACGAGCGCAACCCUUGUUCUUAGUUGCCAUCAUUUAGUUGGGCACUCUAAGGAGACUGCCGGUGACAAACCGGAGGAAGGUGGGGAUGACGUCAAAUCAUCAUGCCCCUUAUGACCUGGGCUACACACGUGCUACAAUGGACGGUACAAACGGUUGCCAACCCGCGAGGGGGAGCUAAUCCGAUAAACCGUUCUCAGUUCGGAUUGUAGGCUGCAACUCGCCUACA
rnacentral:rRNA from 1 species